rnacentral:sRNA from 1 species
UAAGUAUAACUAGAAGAAUGUGGCUAGGUACUUAUACAUCCCUCAAAAAAUUAAGCAAUUUAAAUUUUUUGAGGGAUGUAUAAGUACCUAGCCACAUUCUUCUAGUUAUACU